rfam:Ornithorhynchus anatinus chromosome 12, whole genome shotgun sequence.
AGCAGCGUGGCUCAGUGGAAAAGAGCCUGGGCUUCGGAAUCAGAGGUCACGAGUUCGACUCCCGGCUCUGCCA